UACGAAGGGGGCUAGCGUUGCUCGGAAUUACUGGGCGUAAAGCGCACGUAGGCGGAUUGUUAAGUCGGGGGUGAAAUCCUGGAGCUCAACUCCAGAACUGCCUUCGAUACUGGCGAUCUCGAGUUCGGGAGAGGUGAGUGGAACUGCGAGUGUAGAGGUGAAAUUCGUAGAUAUUCGGAAGAACACCAGUGGCGAAGGCGGCUCACUGGCCCGGUACUGACGCUGAGAUACGAAAGCGUGGGGAGCAAACAGG
rnacentral:rRNA from 1 species